rnacentral:rRNA from 1 species
CCUACGGGAGGCAGCAGUGGGGAAUAUUGCACAAUGGGCGCAAGCCUGAUGCAGCCAUGCCGCGUGUAUGAAGAAGGCCUUCGGGUUGUAAAGUACUUUCAGCGAGGAGGCGUUACUCGCAGAAGAAGCACCGGCUAACUCCGUGCCAGCAGCCCGGUAAUACGGAGGGUGCAAGCGUUAAUCGGAAUUACGGGCGUAAAGCGCACGCAGGCGGUCUGUAAGUCGGAUGUGAAAUCCCCGGGCUCAACCUGGGAACUGCAUUCGAAACUGCAGACUAGAGUCUUGUAGAGGGGGGUAGAAUUCCAGGUGUAGCGGUGAAAUGCGUAGAGAUCUGGAGGAAUACCGGUGGCGAAGGCGGCCCCCUGGACAAAACUGACGCUCAGGUGCGAAAGCGUGGGGAGCAAACAGGAUUAGAUACCCUUGUAGUC